rnacentral:piRNA from 1 species
CAGCCAGAAACAGACACUACUCUG